rnacentral:rRNA from 1 species
GAUCAUGGCUCAGAUUGAACGCUGGCGGCAUGCCUAACACAUGCAAGUCGAACGAAGUCUUCGGACUUAGUGGCGCACGGGUGCGUAACGCGUGGGAAUCUGCCCUUGGGUGCGGAAUAAACUUCUCGAAAGGGAUGCUAAUACCGCAUAAUGUCGUAAGACCAAAGAUUUAUCGCCCAAGGAUGAGCCCGCGUAAGAUUAGCUAGUUGGUGGGGUAAAAGCCUACCAAGGCGACGAUCUUUAGUUGGUCUGAGAGGAUGAUCAGCCACACUGGGACUGAGACACGGCCCAGACUCCUACGGGAGGCAGCAGUGGGGAAUAUUGGACAAUGGGCGAAAGCCUGAUCCAGCAAUGCCGCGUGAGUGAUGAAGGCCUUAGGGUUGUAAAGCUCUUUUACCCGAGAUGAUAAUGACAGUAUCGGGAGAAUAAGCUCCGGCUAACUCCGUG